GUUACACAUUGUCUCUCAGUAACACGGUUACACAUUGUCUCUCAGUAACACAGUUACACAUUGUCUCUCAGUAACACGGUUACACAUUGUCUCUCAGUAACACAGUUACACAUUGUCUCUCAGUAACACGGUUACACAUUGUCUCUCAGUAACACAGUUACACAUUGUCUCUCAGUAACACAGGUACACAUUGUCUCUCAGUAACACGGUUACACAUUGUCUCUCAGUAACACGGUUACACAUUGUCUCUCAGUAACACGGUUACACAUUGUCUCUCAGUAACACAGUUACAGAGCAUCCGGAAAGUUUUCAGACCCCUUGACCUUUUCCACACUUCGUUACGUCACAGCCUUUUAUUAUGAAAUAGAUUAAAUCGUUAUUUUCAAUCAUUAAUCGACACACAAUACCCCAUAAUGACAUCACAAUACCCCAUAAUGACAUCACAAUACCCCAUAAUGACAUCACAAUACCCCAUAAUGACAAAGCAAAAAACUUUUUUUUAGAAAUGUUUGCAAAUGUAUUACAAAUAAAAAGCUAAUAUCACAUUUACAUCAGUAUUCAGAAGCUUUACUCAGUACUUUGUUGAAGCACGUUUGGCAGCGAUUACAGCCAUUAGUCUUCUUGUGUAUGACGCUACAAUCUUGGCACACUUGUAUUUGGGGAGUUUCUCCCAUUCUUCUCUGCAGAUCCUCUCAAGCUCUGUCAGGUUGGAUGGGGAGCAUCGCUGCACAGCUAUUUUCAGGUCUCUCCAGAGAUGUUAAAGUCCAGGCUCUGGCUGGGCCACUCAAUGACAUUCAAUGACAUUCAGAGACUUGUCACAAAGCCACUCCUGCAUUGUCUUGGCUGUGUGCUUAUGGGCAUUAUCCUGUUGGAAGAUGAACCUUCGCCCCAGUCUGAGGUCCAGAGCGCUCUGGAGCAGGUUUUCAUCAAGGAUCUCUCUGUACUUUGCUCCGUUCAUCUUUGCCUCGAUCCUGACUAGUCUCUCAGUACCUGCUGCAGAAAAACAUCCCCACAGCAUGAUGCUGCCACCACCAUGCUUCACCGUAGGGAUGGUGCCAGGUUUCCUCCAGACAUGAUGCUUGGAAUUCAGGCCAAAGAGUUCAAUCUUGGUUUCAUCAGACCAGAGAAUCUUGUUUCUCAUGGUCUGAGAGUCCUUAGGUGCCUUUUGGCAAAGUCCAAACGGGCUGUCAUGUGCCUUUUACU
ensembl:lncRNA